rnacentral:snRNA from 1 species
AUGCUCGAUUCAUUUGGCGGCACAUAUCCUAAAAUUGAAACAAUAUAGAGAAGAUUAGCAUGGCCCCUGCACAAGGAUGACAUGCAAAUUUGUGAAGCGUUCCAUAUUAAA